rnacentral:rRNA from 1 species
GAGAUAGAGCUUUCCCUUCGGGGACAAAGUGACAGGUGGUGCAUGGUUGUCGUCAGCUCGUGUCGUGAGAUGUUGGGUUAAGUCCCGCAACGAGCGCAACCCUUAUUGUUAGUUGCCAUCAUUUAGUUGGGCACUCUAGCGAGACUGCCGGUGACAAACCGGAGGAAGGUGGGGAUGACGUCAAAUCAUCAUGCCCCUUAUGACCUGGGCUACACACGUGCUACAAUGGGAAGUACAACGAGUCGCUAGACCGCGAGGUCAUGCAAAUCUCUUAAAGCUUCUCUCAGUUCGGAUUGCAGGCUGCAACUCGCCUGCAUGAAGCCGGAAUCGCUAGUAAUCGCGGAUCAGCACGCCGCGGUGAAUACGUUCCCGGGCCUUGUACACACCGCCCGUCACACCACGAGAGUUUGUAACACCCGAAGUCGGUGAGGUAACCUUUUUGGAGCCAGCCGCCUAAGGUGGGAUAGAUGAUUGGGGUGAAGUCGUAACAAGGUAGCCGUAUCGGAAGGUGCGGCUGGAUCACCUCCUUUCUAAGGAA